CGGGGUGCAGCAGGCGCGAAAACUUUACAAUGCGGGAAACCGUGAUAAGGGAACUCCGAGUGCCCGUAAAAUCGGGCUGUCCAUCUGUUUAAAUAACAGGUGAAGAAAGGGCCGGGCAAGACCGGUGCCAGCCGCCGCGGUAAUACCGGCGGCUCGAGUGGUGGCCACUAUUACUGGGCUUAAAGCGUUCGUAGCUGGUCUGUUAAGUCUCUGGGGAAAUCUACUGGCUUAACCAAUAGGCGUUUCAGGGAUACUGGCAGACUAGGGACCGGGAGAGGUGAGGGGUACUCCAGGGGUAGGAGUGAAAUCCUGUAAUCCUUGGGGGACCACCUGUGGCGAAGGCGCCUCACCAGAACGGCUCCGACAGUGAGGGACGAAAGCUGGGGGAGCAAACCGGAUUAGAUACCCGGGUAGUCCCAGCCGUAAACGAUGCGCGUUAGGUGUAUCGGUGACCACGAGUCACCGAGGUGCCGAAGAGAAAUCGUGAAACGUGCCGCCUGGGAAGUACGGUCGCAAGGCUGAAACUUAAAGGAAUUGGCGGGGGAGCACAAGGGCGAAUCGCG
rnacentral:rRNA from 1 species